rnacentral:tRNA from 1 species
UGGCUGGUAGCUCAGUGGAAAGAGCGGGCGGCGCGCCUGAAGAACAGUAAGCCAGGUCGCAGGUUCGAAUCCUGCCCAGCCAC